AUGGCUUGGGGACACCUUGGUGGCUCACCAUCAUCUGGGUGGCCUGGGGGUCACCUCCUUGGCUGGGGUCAUCUUGGUGGCUUGGGGUCACCUCCUCGGCUUGGGGACACCUUGGUGGCUGAGGGCCACCUACUGAACUUGGGGCCACCUGGGUGGCACGAGGUCACCUUGAGAAGGAGGGCACAGGAAGCCCCACCCCCCCCCACCCGGCCAAUCGCCUCGUCUCACCUCCAGGAGCCCCUCCCCUUGUCCCCGCCCCCACGCGCACGCAGCCAGGCGGGGUCGGCGUUCGCGGCUGUUUAUUGGGGUCCGGGGGACAACGACGGGGCUGUCCCCAGGGCAGCGGGGACAUUGGCCUGCGGAGAGGGGCACCGCGUCACCGCCGUGGCGCCCCCGCCACGCCCGCGUGGCCCCUGCGUGGCCGCUGUCCCCCAGCCCCGCGUCCCCGCUCACCUGCAGCAGCGUGGCCACCUGCGCCGCCGAGAAGCCGGGCACCGCCGCCAGGUCCUCCACCUGCGGGGACAGGGGCACCCGUGGGGACAGGGGCACCCGGGGACAGCACCGGGCGGGGGGGUGGCAGGGACACUGGGUGCCCCGGUGGGUUGGCACGGGGUGACGCGGGGCAUGCCAGGGGACACCCAGGGGUGGCACAGGGUGACAUGGGGCAUACCAGGGGACACCCAGGGGUGGCACAGGGUGACAUGGGACACGCAUGGGGACACUGGGAGGUGACACAGUGCCGUGGGACAUGGCAGGGGACACCUGGGAGUGGCACAGGGUGACACAGGACAUCUGGGGGUGGUGUGGGACACGCGUGGGGACCCUGUGAGGUGACACCGUGACACGGGGCACACCAGGGGACACCCGGGGGUGGCACAGGGUGACAACAGGUGACACACCGAGGGUGACACAAGGUGACCCGGGGAGGUGACAAGAAGACACGGGGGGUGACAGCGGGGAGGGGGGUGACAGCGGGGAGGUGACAGGCACUGACCGUGCGGAAGGGGCCGUGCUCCUGGCGCCAGGCGUGGACGCGCCCCCCCCGGCGGGGCCCCAGCCCCCGCAGCUGCGCCGGGUCCCCCCCGUUGAGCGCCCGCAGGACGUGGGCCCGGACCCCCGCCUCCAGCCGGGGGGCGGCCACCGCCUCCCACUGGGGACAGCCCUGGGGACAGCAGGGGACACUGAGCGGGGGGGGGGCACAAAUGGACCCCCCCCACGUGUGUCACACCCCCCCACCCAGGGACCCACCUUCUGCCGCCGCCGCAGCACCACCAGGGAGGCCGGGGAGGGGGCGCCUG
rnacentral:lncRNA from 1 species